rnacentral:rRNA from 1 species
UACGGAGGUGGCAAGCGUUGCUCGGAAUCACUGGGCGUAAAGGGCGUGUAGGCGGUCAAGUAAGUGGAAUGUGAAAGCCCCCGGCUUACCCGGGGAUCUGCAUCCCAAACUGCUUGGCUUGAGUACGGGAGAGGAUAGGGGAAUUCCUGGUGUAGCGGUGAAAUUCGUAGAUAUUCGCAAGAACACCAGUGGCGAAGGCGGCUCACUGGCCCGAUACUGACGCUGAGGCACGAAAGCGUGGGGAGCAAACAGG